CUUCACCGAGCCCAGCAGCAGCGGGUGCGCGCGGUCGCCCUGGCCGUAGGUGGCCAGCAGCGCCUGGGCCUC
rnacentral:antisense_RNA from 1 species